GGUGGAGCGAUUUGUCUGGUUAAUUCCGAUAACGAACGAGACUCUAGCCUACUAAAUAGAGGUCGAAUUUUUAGUUCGACAUACUUCUUAGAGGGACAAGGGGUAUCUAGCCCCACGAGAUUGAGCAAUAACAGGUCUGUGAUGCCCUUAGAUGUCCGGGGCUGCACGCGCGCUACACUGAAGUAGACAACAUGCAUUGAUACCUAGUCUGGAAAGACCGGGUAACCCAAUGAAACUACUUCGUGAUUGGGAUAGGGAAUUGUAAUUAUUUCCCUUGAACGAGGAAUUCCUAGUAAAUGCGGGUCAUCAUCUCGCGUUGAAAUACGUCCCUGCCCUUUGUAC
rnacentral:rRNA from 1 species